AGUGUGGGUGGAUAUCACACAGUAGAAAGCCUGAAGAGAACAGACACUGACUUUCUCUGAGCAAGAAGGAGUUCUGCCAGCAGACUGCAGAUUUUGGGUUUACCAAGUGAACCUCCAUACUGUGUACCAGCAUGAAAGCCAAGCAGCACACAGCAUGCAGCCCUCCUCUCUCCCUUGUUGGGACUGUCUACCACAUGUCUCCUCCAAGGCUGAGCAGAGAAUCAUUGAAAAUUUUGGAGGAAACAGCGGAGUUGGAAAUUGUGUAACCUUGAACAACUGCAACUUAACUCCUUCAUCUUCAACCCGGAUAUGAAAGUGAUACCUAUCGGAAUUCCGUGAGAGGACAAAUGAGGUUGUUUUCUUUCUCGACUGUGAUCUGGAAAUGUACAACCAGAGGAUCUCAAUAAAUGCUCCAAUGUGUGACCGGCUAAUUUUACUAACAUCAGUUCUCUCUGAAAUGAUGCCGCAUUUACUUGAUAACAGAAAGAAGUGCCAUGAAUGAGGAGGCUGUGGGUACAAAUCUGAGACCGAGGUAAAAAAAAAAAAAACUUAUGCUUGUGAAGACCAGACAUCUGGGCCUCAGAUUUCUGUGAAUUAUCUGUUUCAGUAAAACAACAUCAGGGUAUCGAUCUUCCCUUAAAAGUGCUACCUUCAUAAAGAAAAGACCGUUGAUGGUUUUCUUUUCUUUUUUUGAUGGGGGGGGGAGGGGCAGGGACAAUUUUCUGUCAUCCACAGUCUCUUUUCUAGUCCUCCUUUAAAGUAAUAAAAUGCAUUAUGAAAAUAUUUUGUUGGAAUUAGAAGUGCUCCUGUUACCUUUCGCAAAGUAAAACUAACCUUAACCUCAUGAACAUUUAAUAAAUUAGUAUUCAGUUAUCCCAGAAAGCACUCUUCCAUUCAUUCAGCCAAUUAUUAUCAGACCUUGAGAAACAUAAUUAUCUAGAAUUUGAAAGAGUAUGCUCCCAUUGCUCCUACUAAAAACUAUUACCUCAGGUUUCACUUGGAAAUUACUACCUCCCUUGCUCAAGAUAGGUAUUUGUCAUAACAAAGAGAUGUAUCAUCAGCCUAUGCAACUGCUUGUUGAGAGCCAUAAUGUAUUUGUCACUCUUGUUAUGGGAUACAGCAAUGGAAAGUAGUCAUAAAUAUUGUUUUAAAUAUGUGAUUUAUAUCAG